UGGGGAAUAUUGCACAAUGGGCGAAAGCCUGAUGCAGCAACGCCGCGUGAGUGAUGAAGGUCUUCGGAUUGUAAAGCUCUGUCUUUUGGGACGAUAAUGACGGUACCAAAGGAGGAAGCCACGGCUAACUACGUGCCAGCAGCCGCGGUAAUACGUAGGUGGCGAGCGUUGUCCGGAUUUACUGGGCGUAAAGGGUGCGUAGGCGGAUGUUUAAGUGAGAUGUGAAAUACCCGGGCUUAACUUGGGUGCUGCAUUUCAAACUGGAUAUCUAGAGUGCAGGAGAGGAGAAUGGAAUUCCUAGUGUAGCGGUGAAAUGCGUAGAGAUUAGGAAGAACACCAGUGGCGAAGGCGAUUCUCUGGACUGUAACUGACGCUGAGGCACGAAAGCGUGGGUAGCAAACAGGAUUAGAUACCCUGGUAGUCCACGCCGUAAACGAUGAGUACUAGGUGUAGGAGGUAUCGACCCCUUCUGUGCCGCAGUAAAACACAUUAAAGUACUCCGCCUGGGAAGUACGAUCGCAAGAUUAAAAAC
rnacentral:rRNA from 1 species